rnacentral:rRNA from 1 species
GACGAACUGUCCUACCGUUGUUCGGAAUCACUGGGCUUAAAGAGCGCGCAGGCGGUCGUUCAAGUCGAGUGUGAAAGCCCCCGGCUCAACUGGGGAGGGUCAUUCGAUACUGAUCGACUCGAAGGCAGGAGAGGGUAGUGGAAUUCCCGGUGUAGUGGUGAAAUGCGUAGAUAUCGGGAGGAACACCAGUGGCGAAGGCGACUACCUGGCCUGUUCUUGACGCUGAGGCGCGAAAGCUAGGGGAGCAAACGGG